rnacentral:rRNA from 1 species
AUACGGAGGGUGCAAGCGUUAAUCGGAAUUACUGGGCGUAAAGCGCGCGUAGGCGGUUUGAUAAGUCGGAUGUGAAAUCCCCGGGCUCAACCUGGGAAUUGCAUUCGAUACUGUCAGGCUAGAGUGUGGUAGAGGGAAGUGGAAUUUCCGGUGUAGCGGUGAAAUGCGUAGAUAUCGGAAGGAACACCAGUGGCGAAGGCGGCUUCCUGGACCAACACUGACGCUGAGGUGCGAAAGCGUAAGGAGCAAACAGGAUUAGAAACCCGAGUAGUCC